CUCGCCCGGGGCAGGAGGCGGCCUGGGGGCAGCCACCGCCCUCUCCCGGCUUUCUCAGCGCGCAUGGGACACCGGCUUUCUGACAUAUUUACAGCUCAGCGGUUCUCAAGAGUUUUGUUUCUCCAGUGGAAGUAACAGGCUGACUUUAUAGGGACGCGCAGCCGUCCAUAUAUGCGUAUAGUAUUCAGAGGUUCUUUCUGUAAGGACCGAUUUGGAAGACUCGUGAGGAAACAGUGUUCUUUAAGCAAACAUUGGCAAUGGAUUUAAAUGCUCAGAAUUUGAACAAAUCAACGACUGCAGGUGAAAUUAACUUGCUAACUGUAAAAUAUAUUAUUCAACAUUGAAACAGGAAAUCCCACAUGAGCACAUGUCUUUCCUCAAGAGGACUAAGCCUCGCCAUCACUCAGGAGACCCUGGAUUCAAGAGCUGCCUAACAUCUAGAAACUUGGCAAAAUAAAAUGAAAACAAGGACAUGCUUUCUCAUGGAAUACGGAAUCAUAUUUAGUAAGAUAAGUAAUUUCGCAUCCCUACUAUAUAGUAAUAUGUAAGUAUUUCUAAAGAAGGCUUAUAUCUUUUUGCCACAAUUUCUGGAAGAAUUGAGAGAAUUAAUUCAGGUUUGUGCAACAACUGGGUGGUAAAACCAGAAAUGUAAUUUCUUUUUUUUUUUUUUUUGAGAUGGAGUCUCGUUCUUGUCACCCAGGCUGGAGUGCAAUGGCAUGA